AGUGAACGCUGGCGGUAGGCCUAACACAUGCAAGUCGAACGGCAGCACAGUAAGAGCUUGCUCUUACGGGUGGCGAGUGGCGGACGGGUGAGGAAUACAUCGGAAUCUACUUUUUCGUGGGGGAUAACGUAGGGAAACUUACGCUAAUACCGCAUACGACCUACGGGUGAAAGCAGGGGAUCUUCGGACCUUGCGCGAUUGAAUGAGCCGAUGUCGGAUUAGCUAGUUGGCGGGGUAAAGGCCCACCAAGGCGACGAUCCGUAGCUGGUCUGAGAGGAUGAUCAGCCACACUGGAACUGAGACACGGUCUAGACUCCUACGGGAGGCAGCAGUGGGGAAUAUUGGACAAUGGGCGCAAGCCUGAUCCAGCCAUACCGCGUGGGUGAAGAAGGCCUUCGGGUUGUAAAGCCCUUUUGUUGGGAAAGAUAAGCAGCAGGUUAAUACCCCGCUGUUCUGACGGUACCCAAAGAAUAAGCACCGGCUAACUUCGUG
rnacentral:rRNA from 1 species